rnacentral:rRNA from 1 species
GAUGAACGCUGGCGGCGUGCCUAAUACAUGCAAGUCGAGCGAACGGACGAGAAGCUUGCUUUUCUGAUGUUAGCGGCUGACGGGUGAGUAACACGUGGAUAACCUACCUAUAAGACUGGGAUAACUUCGUGAAACCGGAGCUAAUACCGGAUAAUAUUUUGAACCGCAUUGUUCAAAAGUUAAAGACGGUCUUUCUGUCACUUAUAGAUGGAUCCGCGCUUCAUUAGCUAGUUGGUAAGGUAACGGCUUACCAAGGCAACGAUGCAUAGCCGAACUGAGAGGGUGAUCGGCCACACUGGAACUGAGACACGGUACAGACACCUACGGGAGGAAGCAGUAGGGAAUAUUCCGCAAUGGGCGAAAGCAUGACGGAGCAAAGCCGCGUGAGUGAUGAAGGUCUUCGGAUCGUAAAACUCUGUUAUUAGGGAAGAACAUAUGUGUAAGUAACUGUGCACAUCUUGACGGUACCUAAUCAGAAAGCAACGGCUAACUACGUG